CCUACGGGAGGCAGCAGUGGGGAAUAUUGGGCAAUGGGCGCAAGCCUGACCCAGCAACGCCGCGUGAAGGAAGAAGGCUUUCGGGUUGUAAACUUCUUUUAAGAGGGAAGAGCAGAAGACGGGACCUCUUGAAUAAGCCACGGCUAACUACGUGCCAGCAGCCGCGGUAAUACGUCGGUGGCAAGCGUUGUCCGGAUUUACUGGGUGGAAAGGGCGUGCAGCCGGGAAGACAAGUCAGAUGUGAAAUCCCGCGGCUCAACCGCGGAACGGCAUUGGAAACUGUUUUUCUUGAGUACCGGAGAGGUCAUCGGACUUCCUUGUGUAGCGGUGACAUGCGUAGAUAUCAGGAAGAACACCAGUGGCGACGGCGGAUGACUGGACGGCACCUGACGGUGAGGCGCGAACGCGUGGGGAGCAAACAGGAUUAGAUACCCGAGUAGUC
rnacentral:rRNA from 1 species